rnacentral:rRNA from 1 species
UACAGAGGGUGCGAGCGUUAAUCGGAAUUACUGGGCGUAAAGCGCAUGUAGGUGGUUUUGUAAGUUUGAUGUGAAAUCCCCGGGCUUAACCUGGGAAUUGCGUUGAAUACUGUAAGACUAGAGUCUGGCAGAGGGUCGUGGAAUUUCCGGUGUAGCAGUGAAAUGCGUAGAGAUCGGAAAGAACACCAGUGGCGAAGGCGGCGAUCUGGGCCAAGACUGACACUGAGGUGCGAAAGCGUGGGGAGCAAAC